UACGAAGGGGGCUAGCGUUGCUCGGAAUCACUGGGCGUAAAGCGCACGUAGGCGGAUUGCUAAGUCAGGGGUGAAAUCCUGGAGCUCAACUCCAGAACUGCCUUUGAUACUGGCGAUCUUGAGUCCGGGAGAGGUGAGUGGAACUGCGAGUGUAGAGGUGAAAUUCGUAGAUAUUCGCAGGAACACCAGUGGCGAAGGCGGCUCACUGGUCCGGUACUGACGCUGAGGUGCGAAAGCGUGGGGAGCAAACAGG
rnacentral:rRNA from 1 species